GCUGGAAUCGCUAGUAAUCGCGGAUCAGAAUGCCGCGGUGAAUACGUUCCCGGGUCUUGUACACACCGCCCGUCACACCAUGGGAGUCGGAAAUGCCCGAAGUCUGUGACCCAACCGCGAGGAGGGAGCAGCCGAAGGCAGGUCGGAUGACUGGGGUGAAGUCGUAACAAGGUACC
rnacentral:rRNA from 1 species